rnacentral:ncRNA from 2 species
ACAGCAUCAAUGCGUUUAAGAUAAGCUGGCAAUAAAAAAGGCAGAAUCUAUCCCGAUGAUAGGCUUUUUUGUUGUGCUUAUUUAUACGAUAUUGAGCAUUCAUUAGUUAAGGUGAGAUUUAAACUAUUUUACUAUAGUUUUAUUUAACUAUGUCUUUUUAAAGAAUGUUUCCAUAUUGUAUGUUAUGCAGACCAAAGCCACAUUGUGGAUUAUGGCCUGCAUUUUUUAU